rnacentral:rRNA from 1 species
UAGGGAAUCUUCGGCAAUGGACGGAAGUCUGACCGAGCAACGCCGCGUGAGUGAAGAAGGUUUUCGGAUCGUAAAGCUCUGUUGUAAGAGAAGAACGAGUGUGAGAGUGGAAAGUUCACACUGUGACGGUAUCUUACCAGAAAGGGACGGCUAACUACGUGCCAGCAGCCGCGGUAAUACGUAGGUCCCGAGCGUUGUCCGGAUUUAUUGGGCGUAAAGCGAGCGCAGGCGGUUAGAUAAGUCUGAAGUUAAAGGCUGUGGCUUAACCAUAGUACGCUUUGGAAACUGUUUAACUUGAGUGCAAGAGGGGAGAGUGGAAUCCCAUGUGUAGCGGUGAAAUGCGUAGAUAUAUGGAGGAACACCGGUGGCGAAAGCGGCUCUCUGGCUUGUAACUGACGCUGAGGCUCGAAAGCGUGGGGAGCAAACAGGAUUAGAUACCCUGGUAGUCCACGCCGUAACGAUGAGUGCUAGGUGUUAGACCCUUUCCGGGGUUUAGUGCCGCAGCUAACGCAUUAAGCACUCCGCCUGGGGAGUACGACCGCAAGGUU